rnacentral:rRNA from 1 species
GCUGUCCGAGUUGUAAUCUAGAGAAGUGUUUUCCGUGCUGGACCGUGUACAAGUCCUUUGGAAUAAGGCGUCAUAGAGGGUGAGAAUCCCGUCUACGACACGGACUGCCAGUGCUCUGUGAUACACUCUCAACGAGUCGAGUUGUUUGGGAAUGCAGCUCAAAAUGGGUGGUAAAUUCCAUCUAAAGCUAAAUACAGGCGAAAGACCGAUAGCGAACAAGUACCGUGAGGGAAAGAUGAAAAGCACUUUGGAAAGAGAGUUAAACAGUACGUGAAAUUGUUGAAAGGGAAACGCUUGAAGUCAGUCGCGUCUUCAGAAAUUCAGCCUGGCAU